rnacentral:rRNA from 1 species
CCUACGGGAGGCAGCAGUGGGGAAUCUUGCGCAAUGGGCGAAAGCCUGACGCAGCCAUGCCGCGUGAAUGAUGAAGGUCUUAGGAUUGUAAAAAUUCUUUCACCGGGGACGAUAAUGACGGUACCCGGAGAAGAAGCCCCGGCUAACUUCGUGCCAGCAGCCGCGGUAAUACGAAGGGGGGCUAGCGUUGCUCGGAAUUACUGGGCGUAAAGGGAGCGUAGGCGGAUAGUUUAGUCAGAGGUGAAAGCCCAGGGCUCAACCUUGGAAUUGCCUUUGAUACUGGCUAUCUUGAGUAUGGGAGAGGUUAGCGGAACUCCGAGUGUAGAGGUGAAAUUCGUAGAUAUUCGGAAGAACACCAGUGGCGAAGGCGGCUAACUGGCCCAUUACUGACGCUGAGGCUCGAAAGCGUGGGGAGCAAACAGGAUUAGAUACCCUGGUAGUCCACGCCGUAAACGAUGAGUGCUAGUUGUCGGCAUGCAUGCAUGUCGGUGACGCAGCUAACGCAUUAAGCACUCCGCCUGGGGAGUACGGUCGCAAGAUUAAAACCUUAAGUAGAAGUUGACGG